ACUCUUUCAGAGCCAAUCAGAAUGGAGAACUUAUCCUGAUUGGUGGAAUUGGAACCAUGGGAGAGCCCAUCAUAUGUUCUCUUGAACAUAUAACUGAGCACUGUCCCCCAAAAAGCUUCUUGGAGUUUCCUCCUUAAAUCCUUAAAGGAGGAAACCAUGGAAGCCUCCUCAAGAGGGACCAUGGGCUCGACCUCCGCUACUGAUCAUCUCUCUGCUCGUACUUCAUGCUGCACAGGUCAUCAGAGCUUGUAUGGGUGCCUCCCCCACCCCCUUCCUCCAAGUCAAACAGGAUUUCCGUGGGGUGGGACCUCAACCUCCCCCCUGUGGGUGCCAGGCAUCGUUACAAACGUUUGCGAAGGGGAUCUUUGGCCCAGUCGAUGACAUCAGUGCUUCUCACACAGCUAUUGGGGUGAAGCCCAGUGGGAAAUACAGUGCGCACAUCCAGAGGCAGACACCAGUGCAAGCUCCGUGUGUGUGUGUGUGUGUGUGUGUGUCUUCUAUUCUCACCGCCACAGCCUGCAGUGGGUUCUGAGAGAGACCCUCCUGCACCACUUCUACUACCGCAAUCAGGACCAUGUGGGCUUUGCCCCACUGAAGAGGCACAACUCUGGACCCAAGUCCCACUUGCCCUCUGGCAGUGCUGCUGAUGGUCAGAUGAUCUUGGA